rnacentral:lncRNA from 1 species
GAUCAACUUCCCUGAUUCAUUAUCUAAAAUUUAAUUAUGUUGACAAUAUUUCUGGAGUGAACAAAAUAGUCUUCCAGAAGAUUUGCUAAAUUUAUGCUUAAAUCCCAUGUGUGUUCUACCGUGAAAAUGGAGGUUACAAGGAAGAGAGAGCUAUUGUGCACUCCUUGCAGCCUCAAAAGGAACUGUACACUGCAGCUUCCGGGCCCUCUUCAGACAGAGUUUUCUUGGGCACAAGAAAAGUUUGCUGGGGAGUGCUGAGCCUAAGCUCCCAACCCUCACCGAGGAGAACAUAAUAGGGAAGCAAGGUAGUAUCCACAGUGGGCUCUAUGUCCUCCCUUCAACAAGCCCCAUAUC